rnacentral:pre_miRNA from 1 species
AGUGGAAUUGCUGGGUUAUAUGGUAAGUGUAUAUUUAACUUUGUAAGAAACUGCCAAGCUGUUUUACAAAGUAGUCAUACCAUUUUACAUUUUCACCGGCAAU